rnacentral:rRNA from 1 species
CGGUAAUUCCAGCUCCAAUAGCGUAUAUUAAACUUGUUGCAGUUAAAAAGCUCGUAGUUGAAUUUCUGCUGCUCCGCAUUCGUUCCUUUUUUGGUUUCGUUUGCGUUGUGGCUUUUUUCUGGUUGAUUUGGCUUCGGCCUUUUUUUCCAGAUUUUUUACUUUGAGAAAAUUAGAGUGCUUCAAGCAGGCUUUUGCCUUGAAUACUUUAGCAUGGAAUAAUAAAGUAGGACUUUGGUUCUAUUUUGUUGGUUUUUGAACCAAAGUAAUGGUUAAUAGGAACAGUUGGGGGCAUUCGUAUUUAACUGUCAGAGGUGAAAUUCUUAGAUUUGUUAAAGACGAACUACUGCGAAAGCAUUUGCCAAGGAUGUUUUCAUUAAUCAAGAACGAAAGUUAGGGGAUCGAAGACGAUCAGAUACCGUCGUAGUCCUAACCAUAAACUAUGCCGACUAGAGAUUGGAGGUCGUCAGUU